AGCGAACGCUGGCGGCGUGCUUAACACAUGCAAGUCGAGCGAGAAAGGGGGCUUCGGCCCCUGAGUACAGCGGCGAACGGGUGCGUAAUACAUGAGCAAUCUACCCUUGAGGCGGGAAUAACCCAGCGAAAGUUGGGCUAAUACCGGAUAAGACCACAAGAGGAGACCCUAGAGGCUAAAGGCAGCUCUCUUUUGGGGGCGGCCCUUUGAGGAGGAGCUCAUGUCCUAUCAGCUAGUUGGUAGGUAACGGCCUACCAAGGCGAAGACGGGUAGCUGGUCUUAGAGGAUGAUCAGCCACACGGGGACUGAGACACGGCCCCGACUCCUACGGAGGCAGCAGUGGGGAAUAUUGGGCAAUGGGGGAAACCCUGACCCAGCGACGUCGCGUU
rnacentral:rRNA from 1 species